rnacentral:rRNA from 1 species
CCUACGGGUGGCUGCAGUGGGGAAUAUUGGGCAAUGGGCGCAAGCCUGAUCCAGCAACGCCGCGUGAGGGAAGAAGUCUUUCGGUUUGUAAACUUCUUUCCUCAGGGACGAAGAAAGUGACGGUACCUGAGGAAUAAGCCCCGGCUAACUACGUGCCAGCAGCCGCGGUAAUACGUAGGUGGCAAGCGUUAUCCGGAUUUACUGGGUGUAAAGGGCGUGUAGGCGGAAGUGCAAGUCGGAUGUGAAAACCCAGGGCACAAGCCGCGGCCUGCAUUUGAAACGGUGUUUCUUGAGUGCUGGAGAGGCAAUCGGAAUUCCGUGUGUAGCGGUGAAAUGCGUAGAUAUACGGAGGAACACCAGUGGCGAAGGCGGAUUACUGGACAGUAACUGACGCUGAGGCGCGAAAGCGUGGGGAGCAAACAGGAUUAGAUACCCUAGUAGUC